CUCACCCUGAUGUUUUCCUUCAGACCCAGAUACUCCACCUGAUGCUUCACGCUGAGGAUGAGAGAAGAAGGACUCAGGAUCAACAUCAGGAUAAAAACCUGCUGCUCAAAGGAAUGAGGCUGCUUCCUUCCUUCUCAUGCAUCCUUUAUGUAUCUCCCCUGCAAACAUCGGCAGUGCUAAGUGCACUCAAGCUGACCUUGCCAGCAUAGUGGUGGAUGAUGAAGCCCUGGUUCCAGCUGUUGAAGUGUUCGUGGGUGUUGAUCUGGACUCGGAGCUUCUGCAGCAUUGUCUG